rnacentral:rRNA from 1 species
UACGUAGGCAGCAAGCGUUGUUCGGAGUUACUGGGCGUAAAGGGUGUGUAGGCGGUUAUUUAAGUUUGGUGUGAAAUCUCCCGGCUCAACCGGGAGGGUGCGCCGAAUACUGAAUGACUUGGAGUGCGGGAGAGGAAAGUGGAAUUCCUGGUGUAGCGGUGAAAUGCGUAGAUAUCUACAGGAAUGCCGAUGGUGAAGACGGGCAACUGGGCCUUUCCUGACGCUGAGGCACGAAAGCGUGGGGAGCAAACAGGG